UACGUAGGGUGCGAGCGUUAAUCGGAAUUACUGGGCGUAAAGCGUGCGCAGGCGGUUAUUUAAGUCAGGUGUGAAAGCCCUGGGCUUAACCUAGGAAUUGCGCUUGAGACUGGAUAGCUUGGAGUGCGGCAGAGGGAGGUGGAAUUCCACGUGUAGCAGUGAAAUGCGUAGAGAUGUGGAGGAACACCGAUGGCGAAGGCAGCCUCCUGGGCCAGCACUGACGCUCAUGCACGAAAGCGUGGGGAGCAAACGGG
rnacentral:rRNA from 1 species